AGACUAGUGGAGAGCUGGGCUUCCAGGCGUCAGUGUACAGGGAAGGCUGAGGAUGCGUCGGUUCGGGAGAGUUGGGGCUAUGCCUCCCCCUCGGCCCCACCCCAGGCCCCUUAUUUAAAAAAAAAAAAAAAUGAAUAAAGCACCUCCUUUGAUUUAAAAAUCAAACCGUGGAAGUUUGCUCGGGGCAUAUCAGUUUCAAAGGUUGCUGUCGGUUGGGAGCAGCUGAAGUUGAAAUGGCCUGAAUGUUACAUGUGGCCUCAGAGCGGAAACUUUUCUUCGAAGUUGAAAAGCUGGUGGAAUAUUCAUAGAAAUGUAAUAUGAGCACAGGAUACCAAGUCAGUGUCAAAACUUCGUUCCAAGCCAUAGCUGUUGUUUGUACAACUGACUCCUCAGGGACCGGCUGGGGAUAAGGAACUCUACUCAUCUGUAGUUAAUCUAAGAAUUAACAUUUAGAAAAUUACGGCCUCAGUGCCUUAAAUGAGAAACCACUUUUCCAGGGACAGUUCCAGAACCAGCUCUCACCCUAGCAUGGCUGGAUGCAGUGAUAUCCUCUGAGGCUAUUCUUGAAUUUAGGGAAGAAUAAUGCCUAAUGAGCUCAACUGUGCCUGGUGGUGUUCAUGGUCAAAACCAACAACUCCCACUGACUUUUUCCCAGCGACCAUGAGACCUUCUUCAAGGCAGAGCCCAGGUAUCGAUCAGCAAGGUGCCACCAAUUUGCACUGCCACCUGCAAAAAUCCAGUGUACGCCAUCUCCUCUUUUGCUAGACAGGUUGCUGUGAAAAUGUGUUGAAGUAAUCUAUCUGAAUAUGUUUGAAACCUACCAAGAAAUACACAAAUGUGUCAAGCAACUGCGUGACCUGGUAGGGGGAGGAUCAGGCGGAGUGGUCACUACAGAU